GAAUGCGAUCAUACCAGCACUAACGCACCAGAUCCCAUCAGAACUCCGAAGUUAAGCGUGCUUGGGCGAGGGAGUGCAUAUGAUUGAGAUCAGUGAUUCAUUCG
rnacentral:rRNA from 1 species